UUUCCACAGAAAUGUUCUAUUUAUAAGACUAAAUUAGGUAUGUAAUUUUAUCGUUUUAUCUCUGUUUAUAUACAGUCACAUUAUACACAGACAUCCACACAAACACCAUCAUACUUUAACUGUGUAGUAGGAUUUUUUUUUAUACUUUUUUAUUUUAUUUUGAUCAACUUUCGUUUCAGUUGUUUUAUGAGAUAUGUUAGAACACGUUGAAUGUCUUACUAAUUAUGCCUAUUUCAACUAUGUUUUUAUUGUGUGCUUCGAUUUUUGUGGAGUUUUGUCUUUAUUGUUUCCGCGUAAUGCGUUGUUGGGGACAUAGAAAUAUUGGGCGUCCUUAAAUACCGUCCUUCCGUCCACACGUCUGUCCGUCCGGUCUUGUUUAAUAGCGCGCUCUUACAAUAAUAUCUACAAUUCUUGCCAAAUUUUUUUAUAAAACUUAUAACAUAGGUUUACAUCAACAAUGUAUUCGACUAUAUAGUUCGAUAAGCAGUUCUGAUCAUGUAUUUAUAAAAGAGAUAGAAUGUAUAUAAGCCAUUUAGAAUCAUUAAUUGGAACAUCGCAUUGUCAGCGCAAUCAUUUGUACAAUUUGUGACAGAAUUUUAUAAAACUUAUACAAUAGGUUGUAUUAUUAAAAUCUAAUACGAGUGCGAAAAGCAAUGCCAAUCAAUAUUUUUUAAUAGACGUGUUACGAAAAUGUAUAUACUCGACGCUGAGGUUGACAAAUUAGACUUUAAAUGCCGGUAUCGGAUCAAAGCAAACAAGUUAUUUAAAGAUUUUAAUUACCUGUGUACCAAUUGAAUCAUUGUGUUAAACUGCAUAGUAAUGAUGUCCGCUUAUAUUUUCUUCAAUAACAAACGUCUUUUUAAAAAACUUUAUCACAGCUAAUUUCCUGUUGAAUAUUCCUUAAGGAACAAAUAUGAUACAAUAAUUCUUCCGUGAAGAAUUACAAAUGAUAUACCCUUAACUUAAAAAAAGAGGGGGGGGGGGCUAUAUAUUUUUUUAUUAACCUAGGAACAGUGUAUCCAAUUUCACUUUAUAUGGAAUACAUUUCCUUGGAUUGUUUUGACUAGUAUAUACUACUCUGUUUGAUACCUACUAAGAAAAAGAUUGAUUUCUUUUAUAUUAUUUUCAUGUAAAAUGUGACCGGUUUGACCCAACAACACCUUAUAUAUAUUCCUGCAAAGUUUCGAAAUAUUCCGCUUUGUAGUUUUCUGAGGUACGAAUUAUGCCCCAUGGGAAAAAAAUCAUAACGGAAAAUUGCACUACAUUUUCUUUGAAGCAUUCAACUAUUUAAGAUUAUUAUAGAAAAGUUUUUACAAGGACAAUAACCGAAAAAAAAGUUUUUUUGUAAUUGUCCUUGUACCUUAACAGAUAAGAAAAACCGUUCAACGCGGAGGACAUGUUAUGUAUGCCAUUUUCUGAAUAUUAGCCUGUAAAAAUAUAUAAUGAUAUUGAAUUUAAAUGAAACUUGAACUUUAUACUAAUAUUAAAGGCCUUAAAGAUAAAUUAAAUUAUAACCUUUAAAGUAUGCGAGACAUUUCACCAUAUAUUAGAUAAAAUUGAGAAUGGAAAUGGGGAAUGUGUCAAAGAGACAACAACCCGACCAUAGAAAAAAACACAACAGUAUUCAUGUAAGUACAUGCAAUCUAUUUUAGGAUUAUGGCCACCAAUUGGGGUAUUUGUGGUAUUUGUGAAAACCUUCAGAUUACCAAACCUUCAGUAGUAUGGUGUUCCGAAUGUGACGAAGGACUAUGUGGAGAGUUGUAAGAAACAUCAUGCAGGUUUCCAAGGCAUCAAAAAACCAUGAAACCGUUUCUAUCGCCAAAUACAAAAACUUACCCACCGAAGUCCUGCAAAUCUCUCAGACCUGCAAACUUCAUAAUGAGAAAUACGAGCUGUUUUGUGCAAAACACGAUUGUCCUUGCUGUAAGAAAUGUGUGAAAUCUCACAACGAUUGUAAAGGUUUAACUGACAUAAAUGAACUCAUAAAAAACGUAAAAACUUCAAACGCAUUUAAUGAAAUCGAACAAACCCUGCAGGAAGUCGUCGAGAAUAUUAAACGACUAAGCACAAACAGGAAUGAAAAUUUAAAAUCUAUAGAAAACAAGAAAAGAGAAAUUGAAGCAGCAAUAAAACAAACCAGGAUAAACGUUAAUCAUCACCUUGAUAAACUUCAGGAUGACUUGAUUAAAGAACUAAUGACAGUUGAACAAAGAGAAAAAAGCAAAAUAGAAAAAUUGUUAACUUCUCUAAAAAAGAAGGAAAAAGAGAUCGCUGAAGUACAAGAAAAUUUUGCCAGUAUUAAACAUCAUGCGUCAGAACUUCAAACAUUUUUAACAAUGAAAGAUAUCGAAAAAGAUAUUAUAGGCGAAGAAAAAUUUAUCAAAUCAAUUGCCACAAGUGACUCCACAAAUCAAGUUAAUAUUUCAUGUAGGAUUAAACAAGUCUUUGCAACAAAUCAACAGCCAGCGUGCAGAAGUUUGGGGAAAUAUAUGUUUGUUCUGAUCCAUGUGAUUUUUCGAUUCACAAACGGAAGGACAGACAAGCCCAGAUUAUGGUCACUCUUCCAACCAGAGAUAUCGAUAACCUGACUCUGACAUUACAGAAACGUAUCAAGACAAAGUUGUCAGAUGUCUCUGGUUGUUCAUUGCUUCCUGGUGAUCGGAUGGUAUUCUCCUCUGAUAUGACAAUAAAUUAACAGUACUAAAGUCUGACGGAUCAAAAGAUUUUGAGAUAAAGAACAUUGGUGUAACGUUUGAUGUGGUAUUUAUUGGUGAUGAUUCUAUUGCUGUAACUUCCGGCAUUUCAAAUCAGAUUAAUAUAAUCGACUUAAAGAAGAAAUCAAAGACGAAAUCAAUAAAAGUUGAUUCAUAUAAUGGUGGAGUAGCAUACAAAGAUGGAUAUUUAAUAUAUUGUGCCAGAGAGAAAGGAAUACAGAUGAUCAGUCUGAAUGACGAAACAAUUACCAAUGUUAACAAUACCAAACUUUCAGGUCUUGCGUACGUUACAACAUUCGGUGACAAAUUGUUCUACACAAAUUCAAUGACAGCGUAACCUGCUGUGAUUACCAUGGUCACAUACUGUGGACGUUCUGUGAUAAAAGUGUUGUGAACUCUCCACGCGGUAUCUCUGUAGACAAUGAUGGAAACGUGUAUGUAGUGGGAGGAUAUACUAGCAAUGUGGUUGUUAUCUCUGCUGAUGGACAACACUACAGACAACUCUUAUCAAGUGAAGAUGGACUGAGCUUCCCAUGGGCUCUGCAUUAUGACACGUCUACCAAUGAAUUGUUAGUUGCAAAUCCAUCCAAUGAAGCCUUUCUGUAUGAUGUUAAAUAAUAAGACAUGAAGGGUGACUUUUUCAACCUUAUUCAACAUUUUCUUGAUCUCGAUUACAAAUAUUAUUUUAAUUGAAUUAUAUAAUUUUUUUGUGAUCUAAUUAAGAUCUGUUUAAAAUUAAUUUAUAGCGUUAUUAACUGACAAUUUCUGUAUUGGCCCUGUUAUAGAUUUGAGAUUAGCUGUAUUGGACCCGAGACUCGACGACAUCUUAUCGAGAUUAUACAGAAAAAUUAAACUUCUAAGGAUUCAUUAUUAUUCGUGGGGUACAAGUUUUAGUGGAUUUCGUUGGUAUAGAUAUACCACAAAUUACAGUUAUGAGGCAGCAAUUCAUCUGCAAAAUAGAUUUAAGGACAGUUCCAUAUGAAUAAUAGUAAAAUGUCUGUCAUACGUUUUCGAGACAGCAACUCAUCGAAAAAAAAGUAUUAUGACAGUUCCGUAUAAAUAAAAGGAGAUAUCAGAGAACAUCCCGACUUAAUAUCAAAGACAGUUUAAUUUGAAGAUGUCUGUUAAAAAGUUCAGUAUAAAUAAGCAAGGAAAUGCGUUACACGUAAACGAGACAACAACAUAAUGACAAAAUUAACAUAACAACUUUCAAUUUAAGUAAAGAAGAUGUUGGUAUUACGUACAUGAGGCAGUUAGGCAAUGUCACAAUAAUUAGAAUAAUCAAUUCGCUUCAAAUACGUUAUAUGAUUAUCAAUAAGGAUAUUCGGUCAUGAUUAUCAAUACGGAGCUUUUGUCAUGAUUAUCAAUAAGGAGAUCCGGACAUGAUAGUCAAUAAGGAGAUCCGGACAUGAUAGUCAAUAAGGAGAUUCGGGAUGAUUAUCAAUAAGGAGAUUUGGACAUGAUUGUCAAUAAGGAGAUUUGUUCAUGAUUGUCAAUAAGGAGAUUCGGUCCCGACUGUCAAUAAGGAGAUUCGGAAUGAUAAUCAAUAAUGACAUUUAGACAUAUUUGUCAAUAAGGAGAUUUGGACAUGCUUGUCAAUAAGGAGAUUCGGUCCCGACUGUCAAUAAGGAGAUUCGGGAUGAUUAUCAAUAAGGAGAUUUGGACAUGAUUGUCAAUAAGGAAAUUCGGUCAUGUUUGUCAAUAGGGAAAUUCGGUCCGGAUUGGCAAUAAGAAGAUUCGAUCCCGAUUCUCAAUAAGGAAGAUAAAGAAAAUGUUGGUUUUACGUAUAUGAAUAUGUUCAGACAGUGUGAAAAUAAGAAAAAAAAUCAAUACGCAUUAAAUAAGUUGAUGAUUAUCAAUAAGGAGAUUCGGACAUGAUUGUUGAUAACACAGGGAUAAGGAAAUUUGGUCAUGAUUAUUAAUAAGGAAAUUUGGACAUGAUUGUGAAUAAUGAGGUCGGUCAUGAUUGUCAACUACGAAAUUCGGUCAUGAUUUACAAUAAAGAGAUUCGGACAUAAUUGUCAAUAAGGAAAUUCGGUCAUGGUUAUCAAUAAGGAGAUUUGGACAUUAUUGUCAAUAAGGCGAUUAUGUCAUGAUUGUCAAUAAGGAGAUUCGGCCCUGAUUGUCAUUAAGGAGAUUCGGGAUGAUUAUCAAUAAGGACAUUUGGACAUGAUUGUCAAUAAGGAGAUUUGGACAUGAUUGUCAAUAAGGAGGUCGGCCAUGAGUGUCAAUAAGGAGAUUUGGGAUGAUUAUCAAUAAGGAGAUUAAGACAUGAUUGUCAAUAAGGAGAUUUGGACAUGAUUGUCACUAAGGAGAUUAUGUCUUGAUUGUCCAUAGGGAAAUUCGGUCUUGAUUGUCUAAAAGGAGAUUUGGAUAGAAUUGUCAAAAAGAAGAGUCGGUCAUGAUUGUCAAUAAGGAGAUUCAGGAUUAUUAUCAAUAAGGAGAUUUGAACAUGAUUGUCAAUAAGGAGGUCGGUCAUGAAUGUUUAUUAGGAAAUUCGGUCAUGAUUUUCAAUAAAGAGAUUCGGUCAUGGUUAUCUAUAAGGAGAUUUACGCAAGAUUGUCAAUAAGGAGAUUAGGUCCUGAUUGUCAAUAUGAAAAUUCGGUCCUGAUUGUCAAUAAGGAGAUUCGGAAUGAUUAUCAAUAAGGACAUUUGGACAUGAUUGUCAAUAAGGAGAUUUGGACAUGAUUGUCAAUAAGGAGGUUAGUCAUGAUUGUUAAUAAGUAAAUUCGGUCAUGGUUAUCAAUAUUGAGAUUUGGACAUGAUUGUCACUAAGGAGAUUAUGUAAUGAUUGUCCAUAGGGAAAUUCGGUCCUGGUUGUCUAAAAGGAGAUUUGGAUAGAAUUGUCAAUAAGAAGAUUGUUAAUCGGUCAUGAUUGUCAAUAAGGAGAUUCGGGAUUAUUAUCAAUAAGGAGAUUUGGACAUGAUUGUCAAUAAGGAGGUCGGUCAUGAAUGUUUAUUAGGAAAUUCGGUCAUGAUUUUCAAUAAAGAGAUUCGGUCAUGGUUAUCUAUAAGGAGAUUUACGCAAGAUUGUCAAUAAGGAGAUUAGGUCCUGAUUGUCAAUAUGGAAAUUUGGUCCUUAGUGUCAAAAAGGAGAUUUUGAUAUGAUUGUCAAUAAAGAGAGUCGGUCCCGAUUUUCAAUAAGGAGAUUCGGUCCCGAUUGUCAAUAAGGAGAUUCGGAAUGAUUAUCAUUAAGGACAUUUGGUCAUGAUUGUCAAUAAUGAGAAAAAAGUAAAAUCACAAAAAUACUGAACUCAGAGGAAAAUCAAUUUGGAAAGUCCAUAAUCACAUGGCAAAAUCAAAUAACAAAACGCAUCAAAAACGAAUGGACAAGAACUGUCAUAUUCCUGACUUGGUACAGGCAUUUUCAAAUGUAGAAAAUGGUGGAUUGAACCUGGUUUUAUAGCUAGCUAAACCUCUCACUUGUAUAACAGUCGCAUCAAAUUCCAUUAUGCGGUCCCGAUUGUCCAUUAGGAGAUGCGGAUAUCAUUGUCA
rnacentral:lncRNA from 1 species